CAAGUGCGUGUGGGUGGGGCGUGCUCUGGGGCUAUCCACGAUAGCGCGUUACGCGCGUGGGUUCGCUGCUCGAUUUGUCUCCUGGUGAGAAGAAAAAGGUCCCCGCGAGGAGAAAAAGGGGCCAGCCCUACCCACGCGAACCACGCCGCCUCCCUAUUCCCCUUCCUCUCGUCCUCCUCACCCACAGGUUCUAGCCACCUCCGGAUCCGGCCGCCGCCGGCCAUCCAGGAGGUGAGGAGCAGGACGUUCAGGUCAUUCCCCUCUCUCGUAAUCCCUUUUGUCUGUGGAUUAGUACACCGGAUAAACGGAGACUUCAAAGUGGAGGCAAAGGACGUGACCUAGAGCUGCCGCCAUGCCCUAACCUACCGCUUCCGCUUCAACCCCACCAGCCCCUCAUUUUUAGUUUGUAAUCUAAUACGGAUGUUGAUGAGCACAUAGCCUUGGAGCUGAGAACAGGAGGAAUCCGAGGAGACAGAUGGAGGUGGAGUGGGGAAGAAGACAGGGUGAGGUAGGAGGAAGAGGAGGCUGUGGCGGCGCCCCGUGUUUGCCUUCUUCGUCAAACAUCCACAGAUGAAGGCCACGAUUUCAUCAACUAGGAGAAAGAAUGUUGGAAGUGAAUGAAGCCUCCACCAAUCAGCAGGGAGCCUUUGACUCGAGGAUCAUGAAACUGAUACGAAGAUGGCCUCUGCUGAAGAAUAUGAAGGCAGAUUUAAUUGCUCAGUGGAGGCAACAGUACAGAAAUCGCAAGCUUUGGUGUUGUUUAUGGGGACCUCAGAACAUUGCUUCUUUAUGUAUACAGAAGUCAGACAGCAUUCUAUGUACUUCCCUGAUAUUUUGGACCUUCUCAGGAAGGUCAACUUCUUUUUAUGCAGUAUGGUAAAUUUUAAAAAUACCAAUCUUCCACUUUUUGAGAAUUUUAUUACUUCUGGCACGUGGUUGCUUUAUUGUUUUGGUGAUCCUGUUAUGCUCACGUGGCCCUUCGGCAUGUACCUCAUACAUGACCCUCCAUCCAGGUGAGACCCCCGAUAUAUUCUUGGAUCUUUAAGAGAUGGUGCAGAGAGCAAUAUUGAUUUUCUGUUUCAUUGUUCUAUUAAUAGAAGAAAACAAGCUUUUUUGUUCAGGUUUCAGAUCUCUUGAGUUCAGUGGAACUCAUAGACGAAAGGAAACUUUCUGUUCUAUGGUGUCCCACUGUUCCAGGUUUUAGGGAUGAUCACUAGACUUGGAAGUGUGAAUUUAUUGUUGUCGCAUGUGGGUAUGUACCUACUGAUGUGUAUAAAACCACGACUUUUUUCUUUGACAAGUCUUUC